rnacentral:rRNA from 1 species
GACGAACGCUGGCGGCGUGCUUAACACAUGCAAGUCGAACGGAAAGGCCCUGCUUUUGUGGGGUGCUCGAGUGCCGAACGGGUGAGUAACACGUGAGUAACCUGCCCUUGUCUUUGGGAUAACUUCAGGAAACUGGGGCUAAUACCGGAUAGGAUCUCCUGCUGCAUGGUGGGGGUUGGAAAGUUUCGGCUGUUGGGGAUGGACUGGCGGCUUACCAGCUUGUUGGUGGGGUAGGUGAUUACCAAGGCUGUGACGGGUAGCCGGCCUGGGAGGGUGACCGGCGUCCUGGGGCCUACGGUACGGACCAGAGUGCAACGGGAGACAACGGGGGGGAAUCUUGCCCAACGAGCGCGAGUGGGUUGAAGAAGCCCUCCGUGCGGGAAGACGUUUUUUGGGGAGAAAAACGCAUUCGCCUGUGACGAAGCGUGACUGACGGUAACGAAAAAAGAAGCACCGGCUAACUACGUG